CCCACUGAAUUUAAGCAUAUUAGUCAGCGGAGGAAAAGAAACUAAAUAGGAUUCCCUCAGUGAAGGUGAGUGAACAGGGAAGAGCCCAGAACCCCAGAACUGAAUCCCCACCCCACAGUGGGGCACGGGAAAUGUGGCUUAUGGAAGACCCUAUCCCCAAUGCCUCUUGUGAGAAGCCCAAGUUCUCUGAUUGAGGCCCUGCCCACGGAUGGUAGUGUCCCCCAUCUUGCUGGGGCCUGGCUAUUCCUGGAGUUAGUUGCUUGGGAAUGCAGCCCAAAGCGGUUGGUAAAUUUCAUCUAAGGCUAAAUACCAGCCUGU
rnacentral:ncRNA from 1 species